AUGACCUCGUGGCCACAACUGUCUUCAUUGGCCCCAUGCCCUGAAGAGCCCAGCUGGAGGCAGGCAUGCAUAUACUGGGAGUGGAAGAGCAGGACGGCUGGCAGAACCAAAAGGUACCCUGAAUUUCAGCUAAGCCAAGACCGAGAUCCAGAAACAACUCAGUUCUGGGUAGUGAAAAGAAAAGUAGGACCAAACGCUCCUCAUCAGGAUACCCAGGCUUCCUAUGGCUCUGCCACUAUGAAGGGGGCCCCCCAAAGUGCAUAAACUUCAAGGCCUCAAAUCUUGGAUUAUCCCUUAUGGAGGAUUGCGUUUUAAAGUCAGAAGGUUAAGUAGGAAUCUACAAGUUCAUGCCUCACAGCAUGCCCUCGGAGCAUUGGGAGUGAGGAGAUGAGAUGAAGAAUCAG
rnacentral:lncRNA from 1 species